rnacentral:snRNA from 1 species
CUGCUCACUUCGGCAGCAUGUAUACUAAAAUUGGAAUGAUACAGAGAUUAGCAUGACCCCUGCGCAAGGAUGACAUGCAAACUCAUGAAGCAUUCCAUAUUUUU